UAUAUUAUAGUGUACGGAGCACAAAAGUUUUUGAUACUUUUAGAGAUAGUUUAAUUCUAUUUAAUAUAA
rnacentral:tRNA from 1 species